rnacentral:misc_RNA from 1 species
AACGCUGUGAGUGACGAUCGUAUCGUAGCGCGCUCGCCGCAGCGUCCUAUCCCAUAACUCCUGUGCACCUUGUCGGAUGGCUAACGCUGUGAGUGACGAUCGUAUCGUAGCGCGCUCGCCGCAGCGUCCUAUCCCAUAACUCCUGUGCACCUUGUCGGAUGGCUUAUGGAAGACUCCACUGUUGGAUCUAUCCAAUUACUUUACAUAACAAUUCUGUAACAAAUGUAGUCUUAUUAUAACAUAAUAAAUCUUUCAACAACGGAUCUUUUGGCUCUCGCAACAAUGAAAAACCAACAAUUAGGAUGAACCAUGGGGCAACGCCAGUGGUGCUU